rnacentral:rRNA from 1 species
UACGUAGGGGGCAAGCGUUGUCCGGAUUCAUUGGGCGUAAAGAGCUCGUAGGCGGUUUGUUGCGUCGGCUGUGAAAUCCCGAGGCUCAACCUCGGGUCUGCAGUCGAUACGAGCAAACUAGAGUGUUGCAGGGGAGACUGGAAUUCCUGGUGUAGCGGUGAAAUGCGCAGAUAUCAGGAGGAACACCGGUGGCGAAGGCGGGUCUCUGGGCAACAACUGACGCUGAGGAGCGAAAGCGUGGGGAGCAAACAGG